rnacentral:rRNA from 1 species
AGUGAACGCUGGCGGUAUGCUUAACACAUGCAAGUCGAACGGUAACAGGCCUUCGGGCGCUGACGAGUGGCGGACGGGUGAGUAACGCGUAGGAAUCUGCCUCAUAGUGGGGGACAACGUGUGGAAACGCACGCUAAUACCGCAUACGCCCUACGGGGGAAAGCGGGGGACCUUCGGGCCUCGCGCUAUGAGAUGAGCCUGCGUUAGAUUAGCUAGUUGGUAGGGUAAAGGCCUACCAAGGCGACGAUCUAUAGCUGGUCUGAGAGGACGAUCAGCCACACUGGGACUGAGACACGGCCCAGACUCCUACGGGGGGCAGCAGUGGGGAGUAUUGGACAAUGGGCGCAAGCCUGAUCCAGCAAUACCGCGUGUGCGAAGAAGGCCCUAGGGUUGUAAAGCACUUUCAAUAGGGAGGAAAACCUGUCGGUCAAUACCCGGCAGCUUGACAUUACCUAUACAAGAAGCACCGGCUAACUCCGUGCCAGCCGCCGCCGUAAUAC